AUCGGGUGCCCUGUUUAGGUGCCAAACAGACCCCACCGUUGAUUUGAGAUAUUGAUAAGGUGAAUACCCAGUCUAUUCAAUGCUAGGCAUAAUGAGUAUAAGGACCUCAAAAAAUCUCUUUUCGUCCUAUGAACUUUAAGGUGUAUGAAGUUUCAUAUUUUAUUUUUAAGCAGAGCGAUAGAGACUUCAUCUAACUUAGGCAAAACUAA
rnacentral:lncRNA from 1 species